rnacentral:rRNA from 1 species
AGCAGCAGCCGCGGUAAUACGAAGGGGGCUAGCGUUGUUCGGAAUUACUGGGCGUAAAGCGCACGUAGGCGGAUAUUUAAGUCAGGGGUGAAAUCCCAGAGCUCAACUCUGGAACUGCCUUUGAUACUGGGUAUCUUGAGUAUGGAAGAGGUGAGUGGAAUUCCGAGUGUAGAGGUGAAAUUCGUAGAUAUUCGGAGGAACACCAGUGGCGAAGGCGGCUCACUGGUCCAUUACUGACGCUGAGGUGCGAAAGCGUGGGGAGCAAACAGGAUUAGAUACCCCCGUAGUCCCUGUCUCUUAUAC